rnacentral:rRNA from 1 species
UGGCGAACGGGUGAGUAACACGUGGGUGAUCUGCCCUGCACUUUGGGAUAAGCCUUGGAAACUGGGUCUAAUACCAGAUAGGACCAUGCUUUGGAUGGUGUGGUGGAAAGUUUUUUCGGUGUGGGAUGAGCUUGCGGCCUAUCAGCUUGUUGGUGGGGUAAUGGCCUACCAAGGCGUCGACGGGUAGCCGGCCCGAGAGGGUGUACGGCCACAUUGGGACUGAGAUACGGCCCAG